UGUAACCAUAAACUAUUUUAAUAAGAGACAGUUUCAUAGAUAGGUUUCAUUUUUCAAAAAAAGGGGAAGAAACACCAUUCUGUGGCUUGAUGUGGCUUUGUCAGUUAUUGCCUCUCCACUUCCCGGGACUUCCCACUGCCUCUUGAGCACAAAUCAGACUUGAGCGAAAACAACUCUUUUUCCAUGGGAUCAGUUAUAAAAAGAAUGGCUUUGCAAUGAGCAGCUUAGUCUCCUGGUCUCAUCUGUGAAAGGCUUGUGAAAAUUUCCGGAAAGAGCACUGGCUGGCUUGUUCGUCUCUCUGGUCAAUUGCGGGGUUUCUGCCGGAUCGAAUGAGCAGAUUGGUUAGUGAAGGUCAGUGUGAGAGGAUUGUUUCUGAGCUUGAGAAGCUUCCGGAGGAUUGAGGAGUAUUUGAAGUCUGUGUCAAGCAUCCGGGGAAUUUUGGAGGUAUUGAAAGGAAUCUUCUCCUUUUGCUGGGGACGUGUCCAUCUAGAAACCAGGAUGUACUUUCUGCUUUUCCAUCAUUGGAUCCACCACUUUACUGGUCUAUCUUGGGCCCUACACAUCAGAAUGAUGGGGUUCUCACUCUGCCGGAAUUAAGAUACCAACAAACCUCUCAGUUGACAACAAAUAGGAAAAGGGCCCCAUUACUGUACUCAAAAUAAAAUUCUAGGCCCUUUUCCUUCAUUGUUAUGAAGGAGUGUGGAGAUUAUCUGGAGUACUUAUAAACCUCAUCCGCAUACAAUGAAAGACUUCCUUAGGGCUGGUUGUUUAAUAUGAAGAGAAAUAAGAUAAAUAGUGGGAGA
rnacentral:lncRNA from 1 species